rnacentral:rRNA from 1 species
AUUGAACGCUGGCGGCAUGCUUUACACAUGCAAGUCGAACGGUAACAGGCCUUCGGGUGCUGACGAGUGGCGAACGGGUGAGUAAUGCAUCGGAACGUGCCCAGAGGUGGGGGAUAACGCAGCGAAAGCUGUGCUAAUACCGCAUGUGAUCUGAGGAUGAAAGCGGGGGACCAAGCAGCAAUGUUUGGCCUCGCGCCUCUGGAGCGGCCGAUGUCAGAUUAGGUAGUUGAUGGGGUAAAGGCCUACCAAGCCGACGAUCUGUAGCUGGUCUGAGAGGACGACCAGCCACACUGGGACUGAGACACGGCCCAGACUCCUACGGGAGGCAGCAGUGGGGAAUUUUGGACAAUGGGCGCAAGCCUGAUCCAGCAAUGCCGCGUGCGGGAAGAAGGCCUUCGGGUUGUAAACCGCUUUUGUACGGAACGAAAAGGCUCUGGCUAAUACCUGGGGCUGAUGACGGUACCGUAAGAAUAAGCACCGGCUAACUACGUG